UGAUUCUUAGUCCAUUGUAUACAUAAAGAAGGGAGAAAAGGAGGAAGGAGUUGUUGUUUUGGGGGCGGUGGUGGGGUUGGUGGGUGUGGUGGAAGAGGAAUAUCUACAUGAAAUUGGCUACAAGUGAAUACAGGGGACAACACAGAUGUCACUUGACGUAUUAGUUCAACAAUAACAUCUUAAAUUUGCACAAACCUCUUAGAAUAGUUCAACAUGAAAAGCCAGGAGAGAGAGAAUUCCAAGCACAAGAGGAUAUUGUGUCACUAGACUACAUUACAGCAGAUGGAAUUAUCAAUUCGAGCGUUGUCCCCAAUAUGAGGAGCAACUUUCAUUGGUACUAACUACGAACUCCACUAGUCCACAUUAAUCUUGAGAAUUCUAAUGCUACAAUGCAUAUAUCGUAGCAAAAAUAAUCACAUAAUCUGGCAGAUUCUUUAAGCUACAUUUUGAGCCAACUCAUUUGUAAUUAGCUAAGAGCCAUAACUCAUUCACGAAUACUAACUCAACCAACUGAACUAAAUUAUAAAUAAAAUCAGCGGUUGAAAAGUACUAUAAACCAAACCUUAACUUAAAAGAGGCAGGGUUUGCUUAGACCAUAAUCCAACACAUGAGACUGAUCAAUGCUCCAGUGGGUUGAACCCAGAGCACAAAUCAAGCACAAAGUACCUCACCCCUCAAUUUUCAUGAUAAUGCAAAAACAACUCUUAACAUGAAUUCUCUUUUUGUUAUGUUGUAUGUAUGCAUGCACUCCAGGAGAAGGAAAUGGAAAUUACCCAUUUGGUUUGGCAAAAGGAGAUAUCUUACUUUGGUCAUUGCACAACACUUGUAUUUUCUUGAAUAUAGCUUUGCAGGAGAGGGACUUUUUGGCUGCUUGACUCAAAGCUCCUUACUCCAGCAUCCACACCUAUCUCCCAUUCUUUGGCUUUUCCCCACAUCACCGCAUAGAACCCGAUGACUAUCACAAUUGCUCCAAACAUACUCCCAAGGUACAAGGUAUCCCCCAAGAAGAUGACACCUGCAACAGCCGCGAUGACAAUGCCCAAGGGCUUGAACAUAGAAACAAAAACAGGCCCUGUCUGCUGCAGGCACCAUGUAACAAUGCCAACUUGGAAUGCUGACCCAAAGACUCCCGAGUACAAAACAGCAGCCAAUCUCAUAUUAGGUUUUAAGCUCCAAGCAAAAGGGUCUCUUUCUACAACCAAACAAACUAUUGCAGACAGAAUUGUCACAAAGAAGCAGUAAAAAAAGACAACUAUCAGUUCUGCUGGGUAUUUCUUGAGGAUCAAUGCCUGUAUGAUGAUCCAAGCAGAAGUCAUAAAACAAUCAACUGCAAGUAGCAAUCCUCCAAUAACCCAAUUUGACAGUUGCACAAAAAGUUGAGGAGAGGAGUUUAAAGGAAAGCGGGUCAUCCAAAUUGGUGGGCCUUUGUAGUAAGUUAAAAUGAAUGCCCCUCCAAUUGAUACUAUGGUUCCCAUGGAUUUAGCUAGGGUUGUAAAGGUUCUCCAGUCAACUUUUUCCAUCCUGAAGGCAACAGCAAGCACAAAGGUAAAACCGGGAACGAGGUUGAGCAUGGCUGUGCCAAGAGUAGGAGAGCUCAGGUUAAUCCCAGUAUACCCAAAAAGUUGUGCCAAGAAACCAAAUAGACCAAGCAAGAAGAAUCCACAGAAAAUUGAGAAGGUGAGUGGAGGCCUCUGUGAUCUGUGGAAGAGCAAAGAAGAAAGGAGAAGGAUGAGAGAGGCAAGGGCAUUAGAGUAACAGAUAAAGAUGAAACUGCUCAUGCCUUUAGACAUGACUGCUUUGCUUACUAUAAUAAGCCCAACUUGGGCACACUCUGCCAUUACCAUCCCCACGAACGGCAACGUAACCUUCAUCUCCAUUUUCACACUCCUUGCUCUGUAGUUUGUCAACACACAAUAAAACUACUCUUGAGAAAUUAGAUUAGAGUUCCCAGUUAACACCCACGAUCUCAGGAAUUUUAUUGGCUGGAAUCUGUGUCUUAAGAUUUUCAGAGCCGUCACGGUACUGUUAGCUGUAAAUAUAGAAAAUCAAGAAUCAAAUUGGAAUUGAAUUG
rnacentral:misc_RNA from 1 species